AUUGAACGCUGGCGGCAGGCCUAACACAUGCAAGUCGAGCGGGGUUUUCGGACCUAGCGGCGGACGGGUGAGUAAUGCGUAGGAAGCUACCCGAUAGAGGGGGAUACCAGUUGGAAACGACUGUUAAUACCGCAUAAUGUCUACGGACCAAAGUGUGGGACCUUCGGGCCACAUGCAAUCGGAUGCGCCUACGUGGGAUUAGCUAGUUGGUGAGGUAAUGGCUAACCAAGGCGACGAUCCCUAGAUGGUUUGAGAGGAUGAUCAGCCACACUGGAACUGAGACACGGUCCAGACUCCUACGGGAGGCAGCAGUGGGGAAUAUUGGACAAUGGGCGCAAGCCUGAUCCAGCGAUGCCGCGUGUGUGAAGAAGGCCUUCGGGUUGUAAAGCACUUUCAGUAGGGAGGAAGCGUUGUGUGUUAAUAGUACACAGCGUUGACGUUACCUACAGAAGAAGCACCGGCUAACUCCGUGCCAGCCGCCGCGGUAAAAC
rnacentral:rRNA from 1 species